rnacentral:rRNA from 1 species
GAUGAACGCUGGCUACAGGCUUAACACAUGCAAGUCGAGGGGAAACGACGGGGAAGCUUGCUUCCCCGGGCGUCGACCGGCGCACGGGUGAGUAACGCGUAUCCAACCUGCCUCUGACUGAGGGAUAACCCGUCGAAAGUCGGCCUAAUACCUCAUGGCAUCGUCUGCGGGCAUCCAACGACGAUUAAAGAUUUCAUCGGUCAGGGAUGGGGAUGCGUCUGAUUAGCUAGUUGGCGGGGUAACGGCCCACCAAGGCGACGAUCAGUAGGGGUUCUGAGAGGAAGGUCCCCCACAUUGGAACUGAGACACGGUCCACACUCCUACGGGAGGCAGCAGUGAGGAAUAUUGGUCAAUGGGCGAGAGCCUGAACCAGCCAAGUAGCGUGCAGGAUGACGGCCCUAUGGGUUGUAAACUGCUUUUAUGCGGGGAUAAAGUGAGGGACGUGUCCUUCAUUGCAGGUACCGCAUGAAUAAGGACCGGCUAAUUCCGUG